UACGUAGGGGGCUAGCGUUGUCCGGAAUCAUUGGGCGUAAAGAGCGUGUAGGCGGUCCGAUAAGUCCGUUGUGAAAGUCAAGGGCUCAACCCUUGAAUGCCGGCGGAUACUGUCGGGCUAGAGUCCGGAAGAGGCGAGUGGAAUUCCCGGUGUAGCGGUGAAAUGCGCAGAUAUCGGGAGGAACACCUAUGGCGAAGGCAGCUCGCUGGGACGGCACUGACGCUGAGACGCGAAAGCGUGGGGAGCAAACAGG
rnacentral:rRNA from 1 species